AGAGACGGUCAUUCUUAUAUAGGGACAGCGAGAUCAUGGAGGAAACUGAAUCCCUCCACUCGCAAAGCGUUCUGCAUCCGAGAGCACAAGNGACUUCCCNUGUGCCAGAGUAGCCAAAAAAGCAUACCAGGUACACGACAGCCACUGUAUGGUUCAUCCAAUGCCGCCUUUUGACGGGGAAAAGAUGAAUAGCAUUAGGCAACAAANUUGGAUUCCGCUAUGUGGGUAUGCAACACAGAAACCCAUCCUUGCCCGACAUAGCAACAUGCCUUCGGGAC
rnacentral:misc_RNA from 1 species